UAUUCAUAUGUACUAUAUAGA
rnacentral:piRNA from 1 species